rnacentral:lncRNA from 1 species
AGAAAGAAGGGAGGCAUCGAUUCUCUCCAGCGAUGUGUUUCCAUCACAGGCACCCUCGCUCAAGGCUCUCGUCAACUCCAAGCGAGAGGCGCCCAUCGAUCUUCAGGUAUGUUCUCUUCUCUCUCUAGGAAUGCUUGCUUUAGAGAAACAAGAACUAACAAGUCCGGAUGAUCUCUCGCUUGAUAAUCCGAACCUCUACUACUGCCGGCUUCUGGAACACAACUCGAAAGUUUGAAGUUUUGUUGUCUGAUUUCCACUCGAAACUAAUCACUGGUGUUUCCUCACACCUGUUUGGAUCACUAUUAUCACUACUGCCGUCAAAUGGCUAUGAGGUAGUCGCAGAGCUCGAUGAACUGGAUGAAACUUUUCCAACUGAUGGUGGUUCCUCCAAUGGUGAUUCUUCAGGCUUGGCUGCUACCACAGUUAAGGUCUGGUAUCAGUUUUUUCUUGCUGCACUGCUUUGUCUAUAUGGGACUGAUGA